AGAGUUUGAUCAUGGCUCAGAUUGAACGCUGGCGGCAGGCUUAACACAUGCAAGUCGAGCGGAGAUGAGGUGCUUGCACCUUAUCUUAGCGGCGGACGGGUGAGUAAUGCUUAGGAAUCUGCCUAUUAGUGGGGGACAACAUUCCGAAAGGAAUGCUAAUACCGCAUACGCCCUACGGGGGAAAGCAGGGGAUCUUCGGACCUUGCGCUAAUAGAUGAGCCUAAGUCGGAUUAGCUAGUUGGUGGGGUAAAGGCCUACCAAGGCGACGAUCUGUAGCGGGUCUGAGAGGAUGAUCCGCCACACUGGGACUGAGACACGGCCCAGACUCCUACGGGAGGCAGCAGUGGGGAAUAUUGGACAAUGGGCGGAAGCCUGAUCCAGCCAUGCCGCGUGUGUGAAGAAGGCCUUUUGGUUGUAAAGCACUUUAAGCGAGGAGGAGGCUACCUGGAUUAAUACUCUAGGAUAGUGGACGUUACUCGCAGAAUAAGCACCGGCUAACUCUGUGCCAGCAGCCGCGGUAAUACAGAGGGUGCGAGCGUUAAUCGGAUUUACUGGGCGUAAAGCGUGCGUAGGGGGCUGAUUAAGUCGGAUGUGAAAUCCCUGAGCUUAACUUAGGAAUUGCAUUCGAUACUGGUCAGCUAGAGUAUGGGAGAGGAUGGUAGAAUUCCAGGUGUAGCGGUGAAAUGCGUAGAGAUCUGGAGGAAUACCGAUGGCGAAGGCAGCCAUCUGGCCUAAUACUGACGCUGAGGUACGAAAGCAUGGGGAGCAAACAGGAUUAGAUACCCUGGUAGUCCAUGCCGUAAACGAUGUCUACUAGCCGUUGGGGCCUUUGAGGCUUUAGUGGCGCAGCUAACGCGAUAAGUAGACCGGACAGAGGGGAGUACGGUCGCAAGACUAAAACUCAAAUGAAUUGACGGGGGCCCGCACAAGCGGUGGAGCAUGUGGUUUAAUUCGAUGCAACGCGAAGAACCUUACCUGGCCUUGACAUACUAGAAACUUUCCAGAGAUGGAUUGGUGCCUUCGGGAAUCUAGAUACAGGUGCUGCAUGGCUGUCGUCAGCUCGUGUCGUGAGAUGUUGGGUUAAGUCCCGCAACGAGCGCAACCCUUUUCCUUAUUUGCCAGCGAGUAAUGUCGGGAACUUUAAGGAUACUGCCAGUGACAAACUGGAGGAAGGCGGGGACGACGUCAAGUCAUCAUGGCCCUUACGGCCAGGGCUACACACGUGCUACAAUGGUCGGUACAAAGGGUUGCUACCUAGCGAUAGGAUGCUAAUCUCAAAAAGCCGAUCGUAGUCCGGAUUGGAGUCUGCAACUCGACUCCAUGAAGUCGGAAUCGCUAGUAAUCGCGGAUCAGAAUGCCGCGGUGAAUACGUUCCCGGGCCUUGUACACACCGCCCGUCACACCAUGGGAGUUUGUUGCACCAGAAGUAGGUAGUCUAACCGCAAGGAGGACGCUUACCACGGUGUGGCCGAUGACUGGGGUGAAGUCGUAACAAGGUAGCCGUAGGGGAACCUGCGGCUGGAACACCUCCUUC
rnacentral:rRNA from 1 species